rnacentral:lncRNA from 1 species
UUGAACAUUGGUGAUGGUUUGUUGUUUGUCCAAUGGGUAGGCUCCAUAAAUCCGGGACCAGGAUGUAGCAAGGAGGAGGGGCCGGAGAGUGGAAAGCUACCAGGAAGGGGAGUAGACCAAGGCACUUUAAAGCUACCGACGGAGAAGACUGAACCUGUGAGGCCCAGGUGGAGAAGCAGGGCUUCAUUAGCCUGCUUCUCCACUCAUUCAGGGCUCUCCCAGCCAUGUGGCUCCUGUACGGAGAGACCGGUCCUCGUGGGUGACGGGAUUAAACAUGCCUUUUUGGCUUUUGCCCAGCAAAGAUGUGUCCUGUUUUGGGAGGUAGUGGUUCGCUCACCGUGCUGGGUUACCACAAUGGCUAUGUGUAUUGUUGUGGAGGAGUGCGGUGAGGUUCCCCGACAAGACUGGGCCCACCGGGACGGCCAUGGAAAUGUUCCAUAAGUUUGAGGGACCGGUUAUAUUUAUGGACGUCUGAGGCCCCUCUCCAGCAGCUGAGUUUCCGUUUCUGACAGAUGGAAGAUGGUGGAUACGUUCAGAAUGUUAGAUUCCUGGGGACGGGGGUGUCCCUGUUGGGACUUAGCCACCGCCCGAAGUUUAACUAAUCCAGCCUGUGAAGAUGUGAAUGGCACCUUCACUGGUUUAAACCAUGUUUUAAA